UUCCGGUUGAUCCUGCCGGACCUGACUGCUAUCGGAUUGAUACUAAGCCAUGCGAGUCUUUGUAGUAAUACAAGGCAUACGGCUCAGUAACACGUAGUCAAUCUACCCUAUGGACGGGGAUAACCUCGGGAAACUGAGAAUAAUACCCGAUAGAUCAUUAUGCCUGGAAUGGUUUAUGAUCCAAAUGAAUUUCGCCAUAGGAUGGGACUGCGGUCUAUCAGCUUGUUGGUGAGGUAAUGGCCCACCAAGGCUAUAACAGAUACGGGCUCUGAGAGGAGAAGCCCGGAGAUGGGUACUGAGACACGGACCCAGGUCCUAUGGGGCACAGCAGGCGAGAAAACUUUGCAAUGUGCGAAAGCACGACAAGGUUAAUCCGAGUGUUUCCUGCUAAAGGAAUCUUUUGUCAGUCAUAACACCACUGAUGAAUAAGGGGUGGGCAAGUUCUGGUGUCAGCCGCCGCGGUAAAACCAGCACCUCAAGUGGUCAGGAGGGUUAUUGGGCCUAAAGCAUCCGUAGCCUGCUUUGUAAGUUUUCGGUUAAAUCCAUAUGCUCAACAGAUGGGCCGCCGGAGAUACUAGACAGCUAGGGAGUGGAAGAGGUGGAUGGUACUCGAUGGGAAGGGGUAAAAUCCUUUGAUCCAUUGAAGACCACCUGUGGCGAAGGCGGUCCACCAGAACAUGUCCGACGGUGAGGGAUGAAAGCUGGGGGAGCAAACCGGAUUAGAUACCCGGGUAGUCCCAGCUGUAAACGAUGCAAACUCAGUGUUGCAUUGGCAUGUAGCCCAAUGCAGUGCCGCAGGAAGCCGUUAAGUUUGCCGCCUGGGAAGUACGUUCGCAAGAAUGAACUUAAGGAAUUGGCGGGGAGCACACAAGGGUGAGCCUGCGUCAAUGAAUCACGCGUAUCGUCG
rnacentral:rRNA from 1 species